UGACAUUCUGGGUUAUAUUACGCCACAGGAUAUCAUAAUUUUUUUCUAAAAGACGAGUAUUUUCAUCAUACAAAAAUUUUAAAUGAAAAAACUGACCUGCAGAUAUUAAAUGCGCAUUGAAAAAUGAUGACUACGUAGACCAAUCGGAUGAGAAGAUGCACUCAAUGUCAGAUUUUUUACACCGCCCGCAGUGUACAAAGAAUUUCUCAUAUAAAGAAAUAUUAUAGCGAUAUCCUUGAAUUUUGACCCAUUUGCGUUUGGACUCAAAAAAAAAAUUCAAAUAGAUCCCAAAACUUUAAAAAAGUUGCAAAAAGAU
rnacentral:lncRNA from 1 species